AUAGCUAAAAGCAUACAGAGUAAGUGGAAAAGAAAGACGCAGGCUGAAAAGAGAAAAAAGAAUGUCCCAGAGGAGUUCAGCAGGCUUAAAAAUAUUCUCCAAGUAGACAGUGAUGUCUUAAUGAAAGACGUUUAAGGAUAGCAACUGUGGUGGUGUCCAAAAGAAAAUGCACUGUCAGCUAAAAGAUGAAAAAGAGGACAUGAAAAUGGAAACUGAGAUUAAGAGAAACAAAAAGACUUCUAGACCAGAAUGGACAGUACCCAAUAUGGAUUAACCAAAGGCAAAGAAAAAGGACAAAGGCAAAGCAAGAUAAAAGAAAGGGGAAAAGCAAACCAAAUGCAGUGAAGGCAGAGAAGGGUUUGGCCUG
rnacentral:lncRNA from 10 species